rnacentral:rRNA from 1 species
CCCAGACUCCUACGGGAGGCAGCAGUAGGGAAUCUUCGGCAAUGGGGGGAACCCUGACCGAGCAACGCCGCGUGAGUGAAGAAGGUUUUCGGAUCGUAAAGCUCUGUUGUAAGAGAAGAACGUUAGCGGGAGUGGAAAAUCCGCUAAGUGACGGUACCUUACCAGAAAGGGACGGCUAACUACGUGCCAGCAGCCGCGGUAAUACGUAGGUCCCGAGCGUUGUCCGGAUUUAUUGGGCGUAAAGCGAGCGCAGGUGGUUUAUUAAGUCUGGUGUAAAAGGCAGUGGCUCAACCAUUGUAUGCAUUGGAAACUGGUAGACUUGAGUGCAGGAGAGGAGAGUGGAAUUCCAUGUGUAGCGGUGAAAUGCGUAGAUAUAUGGAGGGACACCGGUGGCGAAAGCGGCUCUCUGGCCUGUAACUGACACUGAGGCUCGAAAGCGUGGGGAGCAAACAGGAUUAGAUACCCCAGUACAG